UGGUGGGUAGUUUGACUGGGGCGGUCUCCUCCUAAAGAGUAACGGAGGAGCACGAAGGUCAGCUAAUCCUGGUCGGACAUCAGGAGGUUAGUGCAAUGGCAUAAGCUGGCUUGACUGCGAGCGUGACGGCGCGAGCAGGUGCGAAAGCAGGUCAUAGUGAUCCGGUGGUUCUGAAUGGAAGGGCCAUCGCUCAACGGAUAAAAGGUACUCCGGGGAUAACAGGCUGAUACCGCCCAAGAGUUCAUAUCGACGGCGGUGUUUGGCACCUCGAUGUCGGCUCAUCACAUCCUGGGGCUGAAGUAGGUCCCAAGGGUAUGGCUGUUCGCCAUUUAAAGUGGUACGCGAGCUGGGUUUAGAACGUCGUGAGACAGUUCGGUCCCUAUCUGCCGUGGGCGCUGGAGAAUUGAGGGGGGCUGCUCCUAGUACGAGAGGACCGGAGUGGACGCAUCACUGGUGUUCGGGUUGUCAUGCCAAUGGCAUUGCCCGGUAGCUAAAUGCGGAAGAGAUAAGUGCUGAAAGCAUCUAAGCACGAAACUUGCC
rnacentral:rRNA from 2 species